AGAGUUUGAUCUGGCUCAGGACGAACGCUGGCGGCGCGCCUAACACAUGCAAGUCGAACGGAGCUUAGAGAGCUUGCUUUUUAAGCUUAGUGGCGAACGGGUGAGUAACGCGUGAGUAACCUGCCCUAGAGUGGGGGACAACAGUUGGAAACGACUGCUAAUACCGCAUAAGCCCACGGUACCGCAUGGUACUGAGGGAAAAGGAUUUAUUCGCUUUAGGAUGGACUCGCGUCCAAUUAGCUAGUUGGUGAGGUAACGGCCCACCAAGGCGACGAUCAGUAGCCGACCUGAGAGGGUGACCGGCCACAUUGGGACUGAGACACGGCCCAAACUCCUACGGGAGGCAGCAGUGGGGAAUAUUGCACAAUGGGGGAAACCCUGAUGCAGCGACGCCGCGUGAGCGAAGAAGUAUUUCGGUAUGUAAAGCUCUAUCAGCAGGGAAGAAAAAAAUGACGGUACCUGACUAAGAAGCCCCGGCUAACUACGUGCCAGCAGCCGCGGUAAUACGUAGGGGGCAAGCGUUAUCCGGAUUUACUGGGUGUAAAGGGUGCGUAGGUGGCAAGGCAAGUCUGAAGUGAAAAUCCGGGGCUCAACCCCGGAACUGCUUCGGAAACUGUUUAGCUGGAGUACAGGAGAGGUAAGUGGAAUUCCUAGUGUAGCGGUGAAAUGCGUAGAUAUUAGGAGGAACACCAGUGGCGAAGGCGACUUACUGGACUGCUACUGACACUGAGGCACGAAAGCGUGGGGAGCAAACAGGAUUAGAUACCCUGGUAGUCCACGCCGUAAACGAUGAGUGCUAGGUGUUGGAUCCUUUCCGGGAUUCAGUGCCGCAGCUAACGCAUUAAGCACUCCGCCUGGGGAGUACGACCGCAAGGUUGAAACUCAAAGGAAUUGACGGGGGCCCGCACAAGCGGUGGAGCAUGUGGUUUAAUUCGAAGCAACGCGAAGAACCUUACCAGGUCUUGACAUCCCGAUGCUAUUUCUAGAGAUAGAAAGUUACUUCGGUACAUCGGUGACAGGUGGUGCAUGGUUGUCGUCAGCUCGUGUCGUGAGAUGUUGGGUUAAGUCCCGCAACGAGCGCAACCCUUAUUCUUAGUAGCCAGCAGGUAAGGCUGGGCACUCUAAGGAGACUGCCGGGGAUAACCCGGAGGAAGGUGGGGAUGACGUCAAAUCAUCAUGCCCCUUAUGAUCUGGGCUACACACGUGCUACAAUGGCGUAACAAAGGGAAGCGAGCCUGCGAGGGUGAGCAAAUCCCAAAAAUAACGUCCCAGUUCGGACUGUAGUCUGCAACCCGACUACACGAAGCUGGAAUCGCUAGUAAUCGCGAAUCAGCAUGUCGCGGUGAAUACGUUCCCGGGCCUUGCACUCACCGCCCGUCA
rnacentral:rRNA from 1 species